rnacentral:lncRNA from 1 species
CUAAACCAAAGGACCAUGCGGAUCAAUGCCUUCCCAAACCUCCGGAUAAGGUAGAGUUUGUUUUGCCUGAACUUAAUGCUAAAUUGCAGCUAGCCAUAGAGAAACAUGAAUUGGAGUUCAAAGUGCUUCCCAAUCAUCUCAAAAAUGCAAACAUAAGGGCUAGAGGCACACCUCAUCUGAAAGAAGAGAAGCUAAUCAUGUUGCUUCAUGAGUACAUGGAAAAAAUAGGAUGGGUUUUGACUAAAUCAAAAGGAGUGCUACACUUUUUGCUCAAUGCAGUUGGGACUCUUUUCCCCUCUCCAAUUACUUGAGCCUUGAUCAAGUGGAUCGCACCAUGCACACCACACCCAGGGGAGUACUCAGUUUCCUUUGUUCUUUUAUGUUUCUUAUACAUUGAGGACAAUGCAUGAUUUAGGUGUGGGGGUGCACAUUUCUGAAUUUUUACUUUUUAAGUUUAUUUUUGCUUUGAUUUUUAGUUUGCUUGCAUUAGUUGAACUUUUUCAUUUUUGCUUUCAAUAACACACACAGAUAGCCACAUUUUUUUCAUUUUUGCUUUCAAUAACAC